rnacentral:rRNA from 1 species
CCUACGGGCGGCAGCAGUGAGGAAUAUUGGUCAAUGGACGAGAGUCUGAACAAGCCAAGUAGCGUGAAGGAUGACUGCCCUAUGGGUUGUAAACUUCUUUUAUAUGGGAAUAAAACGUUCCACGUGUGGGAUUUUGUAUGUACCAUAUGAAUAAGGAUCGGCUAACUCCGUGCCAGCAGCCGCGGUAAUACGGAGGAUCCGAGCGUUAUCCGGAUUUAUUGGGUUUAAAGGGAGCGUAGGUGGAUUGUUAAGUCAGUUGUGAAAGUUUGCGGCUCAACCGUAAAAUUGCAGUUGAAACUGGCAGUCUUGAGUACAGUAGAGGUGGGCGGAAUUCGUGGUGUAGCGGUGAAAUGCUUAGAUAUCACGAAGAACUCCGAUUGCGAAGGCAGUUCACUGGACUGCAACUGACACUGAGGCUCGAAAGUGUGGGUAUCAAACAGGAUUAGAUACCCUAGUAGUC